rnacentral:lncRNA from 1 species
CACACCAAACUUAAACGUUGGUUCACCAAGUAUGAGGUCAAAGCCACAUGUUAUGUAGCAAAGAAACAAAAGAACUGUAUACUAACCUUCUCAAGGGCAAUUGAAGCAGUCAAUCCUGAUGUUAGCAUAGCAACGACCUCUGGAUCUGGUCUUGGCACCGGAAGAAGAUGCUUGGCUGGAACCUUUAAUCAUAAAGAUGUAAAAAUAGGCCCCAAAAAUCAUAAGGGCUACAGGACUGCCAACUUUAAUAUGAAGUACGAGGACAUCCAUCACCUCAAAACCGGCAUCCAACGGAAGGCGUGCAGCAGUUUCUUUAGCACCACCACUGAAAUAACGCCCAGCACUGAAGUUAACCUGAAAAGCGCCAUGAAAGGUUGA